rnacentral:rRNA from 1 species
GACGAACGCUGGCGGCGUGCUUAACACAUGCAAGUCGAACGGAAAGGCCCUGCUUUUGUGGGGUGCUCGAGUGGCGAACGGGUGAGUAACACGUGAGUAACCUGCCCUUGACUUAGGGAUAACUUCAGGAAACUGGGGCUAAUACCGGAUAGGAGCUCCUGCUGCAUGGUGGGGGUUGGAAAGUUUCGGCGGUUGGGGCUGGACUCGCGGCUUAUCAGCUUGUUGGUGGGGUAGUGGCUUACCACGGCUUUGACGGGUAGCCGGCCUGAGAGGGUGACCGGCCACCUGGCGCCUGAGAUACGGCCCAGACUCCUACGUGAGGCAGCAGUGGAGAAUAUUGCGCAACAGGCGGAAGCCUGAUGCAGCAACGCCGCGUGCGGAAUGACGGCCUUCGGGUUGUAAACCGCUUUCGCCUGUGACGAAGCGUGAGUGACGGUAAUGAGUAAAGAAGCACCGGCUAACUACGUG